rnacentral:rRNA from 1 species
UAACACGGCAUUGGGCAACCUGCCUGUAAGACCGGAAUAACCCCGGGAAACCGGGGCUAAUGCCGGGUAAUACUUUUCUUCGCAUGCUGAAGGAAAGUUGAAAGAUGGCUUCUCGCUAUCACUUACAGAUGGGCCCGCGGCGCAUUAGCUAGUUGGUGAGGCUCUUAACGGCUCACCAAGGCGACGAUGCGUAGCCGACCUGAGAGGGUGAUCGGCCACACUGGGACUGAGACACGGCCCAGACUCCUACGGGAGGCAGCAGUAGGGAAUCUUCCGCAAUGGACGAAAGUCUGACGGAGCAACGCCGCGGAUGCUGAGAUCUGAACGAUGAAGGUCUUCGGAUCGUAAAGUUCUGUUGUUAGGGAAGAACAAGUACCGUGCGAAUAGAGCGGUACCUUGACGGUACCUAACGAGGAAGCCCCGGCUAACUACGUGCCAGCAGCCGCGGUAAUACGUAGGGGGCAAGCGUUGUCGCUUAGCGGAAUUAUUGGGCGUAAAGCGCGCGCAGGCGGUUCCUUAAGUCUGAUGUGAAAGCCCACGGCUCAACCGUGGAGGGCUAGGUCAUUGGAAACUGGGGAACUUGAGGACAGAAGAGGAGAGUGGAAUUCCACGUGUAGCGGUGAAAUGCGUAGAUAUGUGGAGGAACACCAGUGGCGAAGGCGACUCUCUGGUCUGUCUCUGACGCUGAGGUGCGAAAGCGUGGGUGCUAGAGCAAACAGGAUUAGAUACCCUGGUAGUCCACGCCGUAAACGAUGAGUGCUAGGUGUUAGGGGGCUUCCACCCCUUAGUGC